UACGGGGGGGGCAAGCGUUGUUCGGAAUUACUGGGCGUAAAGGGCGCGUAGGCGGUUCGCUAAGUUGGAUGUGAAAACUCUGGGCUUAACCCAGAGCCUGCAUCCAAAACUGGCGAACUGGAGUACUGGAGGGGAAAGCGGAAUUCCUGGUGUAGCGGUGAAAUGCGUAGAUAUCAGGAGGAACACCGGUGGCGAAGGCGGCUCUCUGGUACGUGACUGACGCUGAGACGCGAAAGCGUGGGGAGCAAACAGG
rnacentral:rRNA from 1 species